CUCAUUACAUCUAUCACUGCCGCUGUUGACACGCCUGCAGUCCCAACCCAACAGGUGUCUAGACUGGCUGCUGGGCUGAGCCCAGGUCCUCCAGGUAAAAGGAAGGGGAUAGGGGCGAUGAUGAUGAUGAAGAAGAAUCCAAGCUUGUGGGAACAUGGUCUGCCAAGGGCCUGGCAUGAAUAGGGCUCUGUGGGAAGACCUUGGACCACUUCACUUCUCACUCUCUCCUCCACACCAGGAGGAGGGGAAAGGUGAUGGAUCAGGAAAGUGAUAUCAGGAUCCUGCACGGAGUCUAGAACUGCGGAAAGACCAGCCUUGUAACCAGCCUUUGCCUGCCCUUUCCCAUGUGUACCCAAGAACAAGCUUCGGCCUUUAUUCUUUGGAGUCUUUGGAGUCUCACACUCUCUUCUCUCUAAGAUGCUAAUAACCGUCAGAUAACAGUGGCUCACAUGUUUGAUCAUGAGUAAUGCAAGGACAAGUUGGCCACUGAUGCAAAUUCUCACUGCCAACCUGACCAGCUCACUUACAUCAUAUGCACAUGGAAAGCCACUUCUGUACCAGCCUGUGGAGACUCACACAAAUGAGGAUGGAGACCACUGUGCCUCUGUUUACUUUGAGGAACUGGCUCGUGGAACUAUCAGGACAGACAGGCUGGAUGCUUUCACACGGAGGUGUCAUAGUUUCUAAUUUUACUCAGCUCUGCCCAGUUCCUCGGUGUGAUCGAUCCACAUGCCUACCUUGGAUAACUGUUCUCUGGUCUUCUCUCCUGCUCCUCCCACCCUUAUAUGUAUGUGGCUUCUGGGAGAAGACCCCAGACCUGAUUCCAUCUUGCAGCUGUCUCUCCUAGUGACUGACAGCCGUUCUCCGUGAAGCAUCUACACAGGAGCAGUGUGGUUUUCGAGAUCUCAGCCGGGGCAGCAUUCCGAACUGCAGGUGGAGGCCCUGGGCUCGUUCCCCAGGCUCAAGUUCUCCCCUGAAAACCUUAAAUCUUUGCUCUUAAGAGUCUCGCCUGACAGACGUGCCCCCCACUCCCCACCCAGUGUGGAGGGCAGUCUGCUUUACU
rnacentral:lncRNA from 1 species